GAAAGAUAAUUAGCCGUUAUUUUUAUACUGUUUUAAAGACUAUCAUAGAACUAGAAGGAAAAUUCCUACAACAACCCAAUGGAUCUCAAGUCCCUAUAGAAAUACUCUCGAUUCUUUCCUUUUUUUAAGAUGCAAGAUAUACUCUAAACUAUAAGUUAUUUUAUAAUAUGUAUAUUAUAUCUCAUCAAGUAAUAAAGUUCUAA
rnacentral:lncRNA from 1 species